AGUGGACCAAGUAAAUGACUCUCUGGUAACAGAAUUUGUAUUACUUGGACUUGCACAAUCCUUGGAAAUGCAGUUUUUCCUUUUUCUCUUCUUCUCUUUAUUCUAUGUGGGAAUUAUCCUGGGAAAACUCUUCAUUGUGUUCACAGUGAUCUUUGAUCCUCACUUACACUCCCCCAUGUAUAUUCUGCUGGCCAACCUAUCGCUCAUUGACUUGAGCCUUUCAUCUACCACAGUUCCUAGGUUGAUCUACGAUCUUUUUACUGAUUGUAAAGUUAUUUCCUUCCAUAAUUGCAUGAUACAAAAGUUCUUUAUCCAUGUUAUGGGAGGAGUUGAAAUGGUGCUGCUGAUAGUCAUGGCAUAUGAUAGGUACACUGCGAUCUGCAAGCCUCUCCACUAUCCAACUAUUAUGAAUCCCAAAAUGUGCAUGUUUUUGGUAGCAGCAGCUUGGGUCAUUGGGGUGAUUCAUGCUAUGUCUCAGUUUGUUUUUGUCAUAAAUUUACCCUUCUGUGGCCCUAAUAAUGUGGGGAGCUUUUAUUGUGAUUUUCCUCGGGUUAUUAAACUUGCAUGCAUGGACACUUAUGGGCUAGAAUUUGUGGUCACUGCCAACAGUGGAUUCAUAUCGAUGGGCACCUUCUUUUUCUUAAUUGUAUCAUACAUUUUUAUUCUGGUCACUGUCCAACGACAUUCCUCAAAUGAUUUAUCCAAAGCAUUCUUCACUUCGUCGGCUCACAUCACCGUAGUGGUUUUGUUUUUUGCUCCAUGCAUGUUUCUCUACGUGUGGCCUUUCCCUACUAAGUCAUUGGAUAAAUUUUUUGCCAUCAUGAACUUUGUUGUCACCCCUGUCGUAAAUCCUGCCAUCUAUACUUUAAGGAACAAAGAUAUGAAGUUUGCAAUGAGAAGGCUGAAUCAACAUAUUUUAAAUUCUAUGGAGACGACAUAA
rnacentral:lncRNA from 1 species